rnacentral:rRNA from 1 species
UACCACCUAGAUAGGCGGGGGGUGCAAGAGCUGCGAAGUUUUAAGCUGACCCGUACUAAUCCCCAUCAGAAG